UAUCAACAGCAGUACGCGCAGGAACCCGCCCAGAAUAUCCAGUACGUCCAGCCGGCUGUCGCGUACCGACAGGACGACACUCAACAGAAAGUGUUCAGUCAGCCCGAACAGAGCAGAGUACUUGAAAGGCAACAGUUUGCAGCGCAGAACUAUCAAACGCAACCUCAGGGUCCAGUAAGCUUCACGAAGUUCUCUCAAGACCAAGCUCAGUCCAUUAUACAUCAUCCAUUAUAUCAGCAGAACGUUCACCAAGCGUCAUCCCAAGGAGGGUCAGGACACGGGAAUCUGUCGUACUUUAGACCUGGCCAUCAACUGCAAAUUCAACCUCAAGUUCUGCCACAAAGCCAGCCUCAGUCGUACCAACCACAAGUUCAGUAUUCAAAACCCGAUCCGGGGUACAAAGGUCAAUCGGCAGCGGCCCCAACAUUCCCAGCUGUACAAUAUUUCGGAAAAUACGCACAAUCCAUUUUCAAUAAAAACCAACAAUGAUAGAGUAUGAUAUAAGAUUAAGUUUCAAUAGUAGUCAAAAAUGGUAUUAUUGGUUCAAAGAACUUAUGAUAAAAUGUAAAUAAAUUCUUAUUAUAGAUAUAAAUAGGUUUAAUGUAAAUUAUGUGAAAGUAAAUACGUAUAACAAAUCAUCACCGUUCAUUAUCUUCAAUCAUCACAUCAAAACCGUAUUUUAGGUAUAUGCUACUAUGUCAUCAAUUCGUAUGCACAUAAUAAUUAUUUUGUUUCAUUCAAAAUAGUUUUUUAAAAGCUAAUUUAUUGUUAACGCAUAUGAACAGAUAUUUAUAUCAUCAACAUUUUAAUCUUUAUAUCUCUAUCUAUAUUAUAUGAUGUAGGAAGUGCUAUUUUUAAUUUAUUAUUUAAAGUCUAAAGUAGGUAUACUUGUAGUGGUAAAUGUUUAGUUCGUAAUGUUAUCAGGUCCAACAACAGCCAACAGCUCCAGACUUCUUUAAGAUUCAAUAGUUACAUUUUGUUUGUCAUCUGUUUUCACAACAAUGUCACAUAUUUAAUACAAUUAUCUUAUAAAAU